CGGCUGAGUAACACGUAGGAACGUACCCCAAAGUGAGGGAUAAGCACCAGAAAUGGUGUCUAAUACCGCAUGUGGUCUUCGGACUAAAGCUCCGGCGCUUUGGGAACGGCCUGCGCAUGAUUAGCUUGUUGGUGAGGUAAUAGCUCACCAAGGCGACGAUCGUUAGCUGGUCUGAGAGGAUGAUCAGCCACACUGGCACUGAAACACGGGCCAG
rnacentral:rRNA from 1 species